rnacentral:rRNA from 1 species
UUAGAGUUUGAUUAUGGCUCAGGACGAACGCUGGCGGCGUGCCUAAUACAUGCAAGUCGAGCGAGCUUGCCUAGAUGAUUUUAGUGCUUGCACUAAAUGAAACUAGAUACAAGCGAGCGGCGGACGGGUGAGUAACACGUGGGUAACCUGCCCAAGAGACUGGGAUAACACCUGGAAACAGAUGCUAAUACCGGAUAACAACACUAGACGCAUGUCUAGAGUUUGAAAGAUGGUUCUGCUAUCACUCUUGGAUGGACCUGCGGUGCAUUAGCUAGUUGGUAAGGUAACGGCUUACCAAGGCAAUGAUGCAUAGCCGAGUUGAGAGACUGAUCGGCCACAUUGGGACUGAGACACGGCCCAAACUCCUACGGGAGGCAGCAGUAGGGAAUCUUCCACAAUGGACGAAAGUCUGAUGGAGCAACGCCGCGUGAGUGAAGAAGGGUUUCGGCUCGUAAAGCUCUGUUGGUAGUGAAGAAAGAUAGAGGUAGUAACUGGCCUUUAUUUGACGGUAAUUACUUAGAAAGUCACGGCUAACUACGUGCCAGCAGCCGCGGUAAUACGUAGGUGGCAAGCGUUGUCCGGAUUUAUUGGGCGUAAAGCGAGUGCAGGCGGUUCAAUAAGUCUGAUGUGAAAGCCUUCGGCUCAACCGGAGAAUUGCAUCAGAAACUGUUGAACUUGAGUGCAGAAGAGGAGAGUGGAACUCCAUGUGUAGCGGUGGAAUGCGUAGAUAUAUGGAAGAACACCAGUGGC